AACAGAUGAAAGAGCAUGUGUAAGGCCUCCAGAAAGCAGGCUGUAGCAUGAGAGCUGUGAGGAACAGAAAACAAGCAAGAUCUGGCAGAGGCAGGAAGAAGUGGCUUGUAGUGGUGAUGGAAGAAAGGUUGUUUCUUCCUUGGUUAUGCAUUCUUAGGUCAGAGGCUUGUCACACAAGAUGAGACCCUUUUUGCUCUUCCUGCUACAUCUGCGCCUCUGAUGCACUCCUCUGCAGGCAAGUUCUUUCUGCUCGCCUUUGUCUGAAUAUGUCCUGCAUUUCUGAUCUGAUCUCAUUAACUCUUUCCAAUUAGUCUGCAUUUACUAAAAGUCAACAUGGGUCCAAGAAUAGCCUCUAUUUUUUCAGUUUUAAAUUUUCAGUUGAUCUGUUCAAGAUUUUCAUAUGCUUUAAUUUCACUGUAAACAGUAUUUUAUGAACAAGCCAGAGCCACCUGUGAAUUCUUGGACCCUUGAUGUAAGAGAAA
rnacentral:lncRNA from 1 species